rnacentral:rRNA from 1 species
UACGGGGGGGCAAGCGUUGUUCGGAAUUACUGGGCGUAAAGGGCUCGUAGGCGGCCAACUAAGUCAGACGUGAAAUCCCUCGGCUUAACCGGGGAACUGCGUCUGAUACUGGAUGGCUUGAGGUUGGGAGAGGGAUGCGGAAUUCCAGGUGUAGCGGUGAAAUGCGUAGAUAUCUGGAGGAACACCGGUGGCGAAGGCGGCAUCCUGGACCAACACUGACGCUGAGUGAGCGAAAGCCAGGG